CCAAAGGCUCUUUUCAGAGCCACACACUUGGUCCGUCAAAAGUAGU
rfam:Tupaia chinensis contig173107, whole genome shotgun sequence.